rnacentral:rRNA from 1 species
GGUCGCGGCACUGCGGCGGCUUUGGGGAAGCGGCCGCAGGGCCUUUCGCCGGAGACGAGGAGGGGGACGGCUUCGUGCCGGUGAGAUGGCGCGGCCACAGGAGCAGCAGAGAUGGGAGGUGGCCUGAGCGCACCCCAAUUCUGCGUAGGUCCGCGGGUACGUCAGGCGGCGGCGAGGCUGCUCCCGUCCCUCGGCGGAGACGUGCGCGACGCCGCUCGCCUUCCGGCGCGAGUUCGCCGGGUUUUGGGAUCUUGUCUAUACAUCCCUUACGAAGAUAUAACAGAAGCUCCUGCUCUAAGUAGUUUGAUAACAACUGUUAUUAAACAAAUUUCGGCCACUUGCACACCGUUAACCUCGAAGACCACCUUUUCUAAGUUGGCACGAACGCAUACACAAUAGUCUCAAUUUGUUUGCAGUAUUUAUACCAGAGCUAAACAAGGAAAAUAGAUAACUGCUUCCUUAGUGUCCGAUAUCUCUGCUGAGGGAUCUUUGACAAUUUUCCUUACUUGAUGUCAUACCGGAUGGUGACUUUUAUCAAAGGAUAUUCCUAGAGAUACUGACCUGUUACCUACUAUAACACUUUCGUUAACCGGACUUUUUGUUAACAUGAAAGACACCACAAAAAGCUGCAGUCCGCGAUCUGGCACCACGACGAGAGAACUUCCAACUAUUCUAACAUUGACCCGUAUUACGUCUACUGUAACGUCUCUGACAGAACGACUUAUAAAAUGCACCACUAUAACGUUCCAAUUCAGCUACGUGAAAGUAUUGAUGACCACUUCUACCUGGUUAGGGUUCUACGUUCGGAAAGUUUAUGUGGAUGCUUUUUCUCUAACAAUACAUACGCAUAAAGUUUUUCGACCUGAUGAAGAGGUGACUUACGUAGAUAAGUGGUUUACGUAUAGCACCUAAACGAGCACUUAAAUAAUUUCUAGACCUUUCCUACUCCGGAUCCCGAUAUGACCUGUAGUAUUGGAGACCGCUUUUAAAGGCCUAUAGGUGUUGUUGUUCUUACGGUCUCGUUCCUUGUACACUUGCGACGCCAAUGUAAAGAUCGGUCUUUAAUACGUUUCGCACACAGGACGAUCUACCUGACUUGGCUCCGAACGGUUUUGAUCCGUAUCCCUCUUGGCGAUUUCAGCCACGACCUCGACUACCAUCACCGCUCGUCGUUCCGUUUGCUCGCCUCUCCUCCUUAUCCAGCUCAGAUGUUCCUUUUGUACCGUUGAACCUGAAGACUUACAGUCAGACGACCUGAUACUAUUUUCAAAAUAGCUAGUUGUCAACUUAACCUGAUCGACUUGAACGAUCGACAACAGCAGACAUACACAUAAACGUACAUGUUCUCUACGAACAAUACCGUACACAUUUCACAGUCACAAUGUUACCACGGAACCUCUCGGGUGAGGUUGAACGUCGGACUUACCGGUAGCUCCUAUUGAUCACUUAAGUGAUACUACAAGGAACCCUGCUAGAAACCCACGUACUGGCGUUGGGCUCCUGUAACGCAGGGAUUAAAAGUUCCGGAGCAGCGCCUUUUUAACUUCACAAUUUUCUACGAGACAAGCGG